rnacentral:lncRNA from 1 species
AAGAACUAUACGAUAAAUCUUCUCUUUAUCGUAUACUAGCAUAGUUCUAGGGACUUCAUCACAGUACAAGAGUUCAAGAAAGAUGUCACUUUAUGAUAAAAAAUAUCAAAAUAACUAUUAUUCAAUAAUCAAUAAUUCAUAUACAAGGAUGAACUCAAUUGUCACAUGAUUGGUUUUAGGACAUAAUUUCCAAUAGCCAUAGAAUCGAAUUUGAUUAGAUCAAACCCAGAACCUAUUGUAAAAGCAUCAUUAAGG